GAGAAGAAAAUUUUCUCUCCCAGGAUGAACGCUGGCGGUGUGCCUAAUACAUGCAAGUCGUACGCACUGGCCCAACUGAUUGAUGGUGCUUGCACCUGAUUGACGAUGGAUCACCAGUGAGUGGCGGACGGGUGAGUAACACGUAGGUAACCUGCCCCGGAGCGGGGGAUAACAUUUGGAAACAGAUGCUAAUACCGCAUAACAACAAAAGCCACAUGGCUUUUGUUUGAAAGAUGGCUUUGGCUAUCACUCUGGGAUGGACCUGCGGUGCAUUAGCUAGUUGGUAAGGUAACGGCUUACCAAGGCGAUGAUGCAUAGCCGAGUUGAGAGACUGAUCGGCCACAAUGGAACUGAGACACGGUCCAUACUCCUACGGGAGGCAGCAGUAGGGAAUCUUCCACAAUGGGCGCAAGCCUGAUGGAGCAACACCGCGUGAGUGAAGAAGGGUUUCGGCUCGUAAAGCUCUGUUGUUGGAGAAGAACGUGCGUGAGAGUAACUGUUCACGCAGUGACGGUAUCCAACCAGAAAGUCACGGCUAACUACGUGCCAGCAGCCGCGGUAAUACGUAGGUGGCAAGCGUUAUCCGGAUUUAUUGGGCGUAAAGCGAGCGCAGGCGGUUGCUUAGGUCUGAUGUGAAAGCCUUCGGCUUAACCGAAGAAGUGCAUCGGAAACCGGGCGACUUGAGUGCAGAAGAGGACAGUGGAACUCCAUGUGUAGCGGUGGAAUGCGUAGAUAUAUGGAAGAACACCAGUGGCGAAGGCGGCUGUCUGGUCUGCAACUGACGCUGAGGCUCGAAAGCAUGGGUAGCGAACAGGAUUAGAUACCCUGGUAGUCCAUGCCGUAAACGAUGAUCAGUU
rnacentral:rRNA from 1 species